AUGCCUGCUGUUGGGCGUGGCGCCAUACCUCGGUCAAGUGGUAGGGGUGUUCGUGGCCGUGUCCCUGGUCGUGGUGCUAAUUCUGGGCGUGCAGCCGCUGCUAUACAUGUGUCUGCCCCUGGUCAUUCUGUUGGUCCUGGGUACGCCGCCGCUCCUAGGCGUGUGUUGGUCCCUGGGAUUACUAGACGUUACGUGCCAUGCCAGCCUGUUGGGGGUCCUCCUCGAAGCCGUACAAGUGAUGGCUGGUUUCCUUUUCUGAGCUCGACCGUGGCUGCGGUAAAUCGCAGAAAACGGAAAAUGUGUGUUGAGUUUCGGCGCGCUAGAUACGAAGAACAUGUCGUUGAUGGGCCUUUGCCGAAGGAUUGGCAUGGUUUCUCGGUUUAUGUCAGUGCGGAGGUGAUCGGGGUAGACCGCAACAGAUGGAAAAAACGGAAAGUGUCCAUUAAAUUGCGGCGUCCUGGAUGCGAAGAGAUUGUUGUUCAAGGAACUUUGCCAAAGGAUUGGCAAGGUUUCUCAGUCAAGUUUGCCGAGUCCCUUAAAGCUUGCUAUGCAGAUAGGUCAUACUACAGCCCUCCGGAUUUCUUGUGCCAAUACUGUGGUGCCUCCUUUUGGUUUGUUGAGUGUUCAAAGUCCAGGUCAUCCUGGACACAUCGUAAGAUGGUUUAUAAUCAUUGUUGUAAAGGCGCUAAGUGUUGUAUACCGUUGAGUUCCAGAAGCGGGGACUGCCUCACGCGCAUAUACUUGUCUAGCGGAGAGGGGGUAACGGUGAGAUUGGUGUUGAAAAUAUUAAUUCAUUAA
rnacentral:rRNA from 1 species